ACGGGUGAGUAAUGCCUAGGAAAUUGCCCUGAUGUGGGGGAUAACCAUUGGAAACGAUGGCUAAUACCGCAUGAUGCCUACGGGCCAAAGAGGGGGACCUUCGGGCCUCUCGCGUCAGGAUAUGCCUAGGUGGGAUUAGCUAGUUGGUGAGGUAAGGGCUCACCAAGGCGACGAUCCCUAGCUGGUCUGAGAGGAUGAUCAGCCACACUGGAACUGAGACACGGUCCAGACUCCUACGGGAGGCAGCAGUGGGGAAUAUUGCACAAUGGGCGCAAGCCUGAUGCAGCCAUGCCGCGUGUGUGAAGAAGGCCUUCGGGUUGUAAAGCACUUUCAGUCGUGAGGAAGGUAGUGUAGUUAAUAGCUGCAUUAUUUGACGUUAGCGACAAGAAGAAGCACCGGCUAACUCCGUGCCAGCAGCCGCGGUAAUACGGAGGGUGCGAGCGUUAAUCGGAAAUUACUGGGCGUAAAGCGCAUGCAGGUGGUUUGUUAAGUCAGAUGUGAAAGCCCGGGGCUCAACCUCGGAAUUGCAUUUGAAACUGGCAGACUAGAGUACUGUAGAGGGGGGUAGAAUUUCAGGUGUAGCGGUGAAAUGCGUAGAGAUCUGAAGGAAUACCCGGUGGCGAAAGGCGGCCCCCUGGACAGAUACUGACACUCAGAUGCGAAAGCGUGGGGAGCAACACAGGGAUUAGAUACCCGUGGUAGUCCACGCCGUAAACGAUGUCUACUUGGAGGUUGUGGCCUUGAGCCGUGGCUUUCGGAGCUAACGCGUUAAGUAGACCGCCUGGGGAGUACGGUCGCAAGAUUAAAACUCAAAUGAAUUGACGGGGGCCCGCACAAGCGGUGGAGCAUGUGGUUUAAUUCGAUGCAACGCGAAGAACCUUACCUACUCUUGACAUCCAGAGAACUUUCCAGAGAUGGAUUGGUGCCUUCGGGAACUCUGAGACAGGUGCUGCAUGGCUGUCGUCAGCUCGUGUUGUGAAAUGUUGGGUUAAGUCCCGCAACGAGCGCAACCCUUAUCCUUGUUUGCCAGCGAGUAAUGUCGGGAACUCCAGGGAGACUGCCGGUGAUAAACCGGAGGAAGGUGGGGACGACGUCAAGUCAUCAUGGCCCUUACGAGUAGGGCUACACACGUGCUACAAUGGCGCAUACAGAGGGCGGCCAACUUGCGAAAGUGAGCGAAUCCCAAAAAGUGCGUCGUAGUCCGGAUUGGAGUCUGCAACUCGACUCCAUGAAGUCG
rnacentral:rRNA from 1 species